UGGCUUCUGUUCAGAUACGUGCAAUGUCAUGUUUGGCACCAAUCAUUCAGUUUCCCAGAUGCUAAUAAAAGAUCAUCCAUGGAUAAUUCCAAUCAAAUGCAGCAGUCAUUUGAUUCAUCUGUGCAGUUCCCAUGCAUCAAAAGUUUUUCCUAAAAACGUUGAAGACCUUUGCAGGAACAUAUUUUCACAUUUCAGCAUGUCAAGUAAAAGAAGUGAAGCAUUUAAAGAGUUCCAACAGUUUCUUGAUUUAGACGAGCUGAAAAUUUUGCGCCCAGGUUAUACACGAUGGUUAUCCAUGAAAGCUUGUGUAAAAAGAAUCCUCGAGCAGUAUGAUGCCUUAAAGCUCUACUUUACAAAUGUUGCAUUUGAAGAUCCCACAAAUACUCAUGAUGCAAUUCUGGCAAGUCUGAACAACAAGUUCUAUCAAGUCUAUCUGGAAUUUAUGGACUUUAAUUUAGGCAGAUUUGUGUCUUUCAACUUGCUGUUCCAGAGUGAAAUGCCACAGCUUCAUCAGCUAAAAGGUUCAGUGGAUAGUCUCAUUAAGGCUAUGUGUCUUGAUUUUAUGGAUGUAGAAUAUAUCAGAAGCAAAGAUGGUCUGGAGAUUGAUCCAUGCAAAAAAACAAGCACCUGUCUCU